GUAAGUGUCCCACAAAAAUUUGUCAUUCCAAACUAAAAACCGUAUUGUGAUCGUAAGUGUCAUGAAAUAUUCUCUGCUGUCUUGCUUUCGCAUUCCUUCUGUAUGAUUAUACAAAACUGUAAGUAUCGUAUUUGAUUAAUGGAGCUGCCUGCUUACAAACAUGGGUCUGUUAAUAGACGUAAGAUAUAAUUGUUGAUUAUUGUUGUCGAUGCUCUUACUGGUGAAUACUCUUUUUUCUGUAAGUAAAAAAUUAAAUUUAAAAUUGUGGAUUUACAAAAUACGUUUAUAAAGAAUGUUCAUCUAAAAACUCGUGUAUAGAAGCACUAUUAUUUGUAAAAGAAGUUUAGUUUCCUGAAUCAAUAAAUCUGUUUUUCCAAUAAUAUCCUUGGUUUCGAAAAGUGAGCAGAUUUUUAGUGUUAUUAGUAGAGAUUCCAUUUUCUCAAUCUGUGGCUCUCAAUCGGAAUCUCAGUGUAAAAGCACACACUUCACCUUCUUACUGCACUAUCAAACACCUUCAAACAUAUCACAUUUUUACACAAUACUGUUGUACUACAGCAUACAGUACAACAUGCAACCUUGACUCGAACUCAAUAAUAAUUAUUAGCUUUACAAUAAUUUAGAUCUUAAAUCUUAUAUAACGCAUGGCCAUUGAACUAUCUACUAACUUUUUCAACAGUAUGUCAAGGCGUACGACAGUGUUCCACUAAUGGCUACUUUCAAAAAUUGAUUUCUUCAAUAUUAUUAUUUGAAUGUGAAGUAGUAGACUAUAGCUGCAGCUUCAAAUCAGUUCAAACUCGGCUGUUCUGUUAUCGAUUGGAAGUAAUCAAGCACAGGAAAUAAAUACAGGCAAUCAAUCUUAUUAAAGAUAACCAUUGCUUAUGAUUUUAGUAUAUUGUUUGAAUAAUUCAAUAAACCUCUAAAUAACUAUGUCAAAUGCGAAAAUUUUGAAUUGAUUUGAUUAAAAAAAUUGGAAUUAUACUGUAGUUUCAUAUUGUUGCAGAUUUGAAAUUUUACCUCGAAAUUGACACCUUUCUAAUGAUAAUUCACUUCAUUUAUCUGUUAUCCAUAGUACAAUACAAUUCCAUCUAGAAAAUAAUGAUAAUAGUUUGUUGAAUUUGAAGAUAAGCGAUUGAAAAUAAAUAUAAAGCUAU